rnacentral:misc_RNA from 1 species
GAUUUCUUUUCAGUUUCAAAUUCACAAUAAGAACGAAGCCAGAGCUGAUGUCGGAGCAGGCCAGUUCCAUAGAUUACAUAAUGGAAAAGGCGUCGGGCCCCCACUUCUCCGGCCUACGGCUCAACGGCCUCCUUUCAUCUCUGUCUUCCUCCUCCUCGACUUCGCCAACUCACCGCACAUGUGCCGUUUCAGCUUCAGCUUCUCCGCUUACUCCCAAACAGCCCUUUGUCAUUGGAGUAUCA